rnacentral:tRNA from 1 species
GUUCGGAUAUGCAAGUGGUGCAAAGCAACGGACUGUAACUCCGUGCGUAAUCGCUUGAGCGCGCAUGUGGCGUUUUACGCUUCGUAGGUUCGAAUCCUACUCCGACCACCA